GAUGAACGCUGGCGGCGUGCCUAACACAUGCAAGUCGAGCGGCAGCGAGGGGUGCUUGCACCCUGUCGGCGAGCGGCGGACGGCUGAGUAACGCGUGGGAACGUGCCCCAAAGUGAGGAAUAACUGCCCGAAAGGGUAGCUAAUACCGCAUAUUAUCUUCGGAUCAAAGGAUUUAUCCGCUUUGGGAGCGGCUCGCGUCGGAUUAGGUAGUUGGUGAGGUAAUGGCUCACCAGGCCGACGAUCCGUAGCUGGUCUGAGAGGAUGACCAGCCAGACUGGAACUGAGACACGGUCCAGACUACUACGGGAGGCAGCAGUGAGGAAUCUUCCACAAUGGGCGAAAGCCUGAUGGAGCAACGCCGCGUGCAGGACGAAGGCCUUCGGGUUGUAAACUGCUUUUAUAAGUGAGGAAUAUGACGGUAACUUAUGAAUAAGGAUCGGCUAACUACGUG
rnacentral:rRNA from 1 species